GACGAACGCUGGCGGCGUGCCUAAUACAUGCAAGUAGAACGCUGAAGAGAGGAGCUUGCUCUUCUUGGAUGAGUUGCGAACGGGUGAGUAACGCGUAGGUAACCUGCCUUGUAGCGGGGGAUAACUAUUGGAAACGAUAGCUAAUACCGCAUAACAAUGGAUGACACAUGUCAUUUAUUUGAAAGGGGCAAUUGCUCCACUACAAGAUGGACCUGCGUUGUAUUAGCUAGUAGGUGAGGUAACGGCUCACCUAGGCGACGAUACAUAGCCGACCUGAGAGGGUGAUCGGCCACACUGGGACUGAGACACGGCCCAGACUCCUACGGGAGGCAGCAGUAGGGAAUCUUCGGCAAUGGGGGCAACCCUGACCGAGCAACGCCGCGUGAGUGAAGAAGGUUUUCGGAUCGUAAAGCUCUGUUGUAAGUCAAGAACGAGUGUGAGAGUGGAAAGUUCACACUGUGACGGUAGCUUACCAGAAAGGGACGGCUAACUACGUGCCAGCAGCCGCGGUAAUACGUAGGUCCCGAGCGUUGUCCGGAUUUAUUGGGCGUAAAGCGAGCGCAGGCGGUUUGAUAAGUCUGAAGUUAAAGGCUGUGGCUCAACCAUAGUUCGCUUUGGAAACUGUCAAACUUGAGUGCAGAAGGGGAGAGUGGAAUUCCAUGUGUAGCGGUGAAAUGCGUAGAUAUAUGGAGGAACACCGGUGGCGAAAGCGGCUCUCUGGUCUGUAACUGACGCUGAGGCUCGAAAGCGUGGGGAGCGAACAGGAUUAGAUACCCUGGUAGUCCACGCCGUAAACGAUGAGUGCUAGGUGUUGGAUCCUUUCCGGGAUUCAGUGCCGCAGCUAACGCAUUAAGCACUCCGCCUGGGGAGUACGACCGCAAGGUUGAAACUCAAAGGAAUUGACGGGGGCCCGCACAAGCGGUGGAGCAUGUGGUUUAAUUCGGAGCAACGCGAAGAACCUUACCAGGUCUUGACAUCCCGAUGCUAUUUCUAGAGAUAGAAAGUUACUUCGGUACAUCGGUGACAGGUGGUGCAUGGUUGUCGUCAGCUCGUGUCGUGAGAUGUUGGGUUAAGUCCCGCAACGAGCGCAACCCCUAUUGUUAGUUGCCAUCAUUCAGUUGGGCACUCUAGCGAGACUGCCGGUAAUAAACCGGAGGAAGGUGGGGAUGACGUCAAAUCAUCAUGCCCCUUAUGACCUGGGCUACACACGUGCUACAAUGGUUGGUACAACGAGUUGCGAGUCGGUGACGGCAAGCUAAUCUCUUAAAGCCAAUCUCAGUUCGGAUUGUAGGCUGCAACUCGCCUACAUGAAGUCGGAAUCGCUAGUAAUCGCGGAUCAGCACGCCGCGGUGAAUACGUUCCCGGGCCU
rnacentral:rRNA from 1 species